rnacentral:rRNA from 1 species
UACGGGGGGAGCAAGCGUUGUUCGGAUUUACUGGGCGUAAAGGGCGCGUAGGCGGCCACCGCAAGUCAGUUGUGAAAUCUCUGGGCUUAACCCAGAACGGUCAGCUGAUACUGCGGGGCUAGAGUGCAGAAGGGGCAACUGGAAUUCUCGGUGUAGCGGUGAAAUGCGUAGAUAUCGAGAGGAACACCUGCGGCGAAGGCGGGUGCUGGGCUGACACUGACGCUGACAGCGCGAAAGCUAGGGGAGCGAACGGG